GAGGGUGUAGCUCAGUGGUAGAGCACAUGCUCUGUUUAGCACGCACGAAGUCCUGGGUGCAACCCCCAGCACCUCCU
rnacentral:tRNA from 1 species